rnacentral:rRNA from 1 species
UGAUGUUAGCGGCGGACGGGUGAGUAACACGUGGGUAACCUGCCUGUAAGACUGGGAUAACUCCGGGAAACCGGGGCUAAUACCGGAUGGUUGUUUGAACCGCAUGGUUCAAACAUAAAAGGUGGCUUCGGCUACCACUUACAGAUGGACCCGCGGCGCAUUAGCUAGUUGGUGAGGUAACGGCUCACCAAGGCAACGAUGCGUAGCCGACCUGAGAGGGUGAUCGGCCACACUGGGACUGAGACACGGCCCAGACUCCUACGGGAGGCAGCAGUAGGGAAUCUUCCGCAAUGGACGAAAGUCUGACGGAGCAACGCCGCGUGAGUGAUGAAGGUUUUCGGAUCGUAAAGCUCUGUUGUUAGGGAAGAACAAGUACCGUUCGAAUAGGGCGGUACCUUGACGGUACCUAACCAGAAAGCCACGGCUAACUACGUGCCAGCAGCCGCGGUAAUACGUAGGUGGCAAGCGUUGUCCGGAAUUAUUGGGCGUAAAGGGCUCGCAGGCGGUUUCUUAAGUCUGAUGUGAAAGCCCCCGGCUCAACCGGGGAGGGUCAUUGGAAACUGGGGAACUUGAGUGCAGAAGAGGAGAGUGGAAUUCCACGUGUAGCGGUGAAAUGCGUAGAGAUGUGGAGGAACACCAGUGGCGAAGGCGACUCUCUGGUCUGUAACUGACGCUGAGGAGCGAAAGCGUGGGGGAGCGGAACAGGAUUAGAUACCCUGGUAGUCCACGCCGUAACGAUGAGUGCUAAGUGUUAGGGGGUUUCCGCCCCUUAGUGCUGCAGCUGACGCAUUAGGCACUCCGCCUGGGGGAGUACGGUCGCAAGACUGAAAGCUCAAAGGAAUGUGGACGGGGGCGCGGCACAAGCGUGGGAGCAUGUGGUGUAGAGUCAAAGCUACGCGGAGAAGCUUACCAGGUCGU